GACGAACGCUGGCGGCGUGCCUAAUACAUGCAAGUCGAACGCAGGGGGGACGGGUGAGUAACACGUGGGUAACCUCGCAUCAGAGGGGAUAACACUUGGAAACAGGUGCUAAACCGAUACUGAUGGAUGGACCCGCGGUGCAUUAGCUAGUUGGUGAGGUAACGGCUCACCAAGGCCACGAUGCAUAGCCGACCGGAGAGUGGAAUCGGCCACACUGGGACUGAGACACGGCCCAGACUCCGACGGGGGUCAGCAGUAGGGAAUCGUCUGCAAUGGACGAAAGGCUGAACGAGCAACGCCGCGUGAGUGAAGAAGGUUUUCGGAUCGUAAAACUCUGUUGUUAGAGAAGCGGUAUCUAACCAGAAAGCCACGGCUAACUACGUGCCAGCCGCCGCGGUAAGUC
rnacentral:rRNA from 1 species